GUAACCACAGAGCCAGUAUCAACAAAGAUUAACUAAAAGAUUUUGUGUACAAUUUGGGUAAAAAGUAAAUUUGUGUCUUUGAGAGAAAUAUAAUAAAGAAAUCAUUGUUAUUCGAGGUCAAAUCACUGGAUCAAAUCGAGUCGAUAGCUUGCUAAGAACAUGACUGGGUCGAAAACAUCUUUUUAACGUUUAUAUGACAAUUUAUCUUUGUAGUAAUGUAUCACAUCUAUCUCUGAAACUGCAUUCAAUUUAAUGUCUUUCAGAUCUGUCAUGAAACUAAGAAUGAUGGUGGUUAAAUGAAAUCUUUUACAAGUUAAGACAUUCAUUGUUAUCCCGCUGAAAUGCCAAUAUAUACAGUACCGUCAGUACAUAUGACUAUUACUGUCAGAAGCAUAUGUGUUCAAGAACAUAUUGAGGCUUCAACAAACACUCAAUAAAAUAAGAGAAAUACCAGCACUUUAGAAUGUAAUUGGUAUACAAUAUUGUACAAGCAUCUGCCCAUGCAUAUUAAUUUUCCAGGAAAUGCACAUUAAUUUAACAGUCAUGAGGAUGUUAGAGUUUCUUUCUUAGAGUUUCUCUCUUUCUACAGUGAUAAUUGAUAAGCCAAGAAAACAACAGAUCCUGGAAGGCAUCAAGAUACUGGAAUAAUACACAAAUAUUUUGAAACCAAAGGAACAAAGGAUUUUGAAAGAUAACAAUCAUUUGAGUAUCCUGCCUGACAUAAUAUAUGGUAAUCUGACACAAUGGUAAUCCGAAUCAAGAAUCCAGCAAGUCUAUGAGAAUACUAAAGAGGAAGUUAAUUUCAAAAUAGAAGGACAAAUGGCUUCUUUGCUCCUAAUUGUGAUGGUCUACCUACCUAUAUAUCUACCCACUACCAGUACUAUAGGUACCUAUCUACCCACUGCUAUAGGUUUAACCACAACUGGAUUUUAGCUAAAAUGCUAGGGGAGGUUUCCUGGGACGCUGAGCUUAGACAGCAUAUAGCCCCCUGAAGUGGACUAUGCGACAUAUACAUUUACUGUAAGUACUGUACAUAUCUAUAAAUGUAUUUAUAUAUCCAAUUUCACCCCUCGCUACAACACUACAAACUAGGUUCUUUCGAAACAUUGCAUUAAACAGGUAAUGGACACAAAAAUGAAUGAGUAUCACUUUUUAAAUUUUGUAACAGAACUUUGUUACAAAGUGUAGACCCUAAGGAACACAUGAAAGUUUAGUAACAAACAUAAAAGUUUAGUAACAAACAUGAAAGUUAAGUGAUUCUGAUCCAUCAUCUGACCAUUUUCAAAUCUCAGGGGAGGUGCAAAACG